rnacentral:rRNA from 1 species
GACGAACGCUGGCGGCGUGCCUAAUACAUGCAAGUCGAGCGGAUCAAAGGGAGCUUGCUCCUGGAGGUCAGCGGCGAACGGGUGAGUAACACGUGGGCAACCUGCCUGUAAGACUGGGACAACAUCGAGAAAUCGGUGCUAAUACCGGAUAAUAAAAAGAACUGCAUGGUUCUUUUUGAAAGAUGGUUUCGGCUAUCACUUACAGAUGGGCCGCGGCGCAUUAGCUAGUUGGUGAGGUAACGGCUCACCAAGGCAACGAUGCGUAGCCGACCUGAGAGGGUGAUCGGCCACACUGGGACUGAGACACGGCCCAGACUCCUACGGGAGGCAGCAGUAGGGAAUCUUCCGCAAUGGACGAAAGUCUGACGGAGCAACGCCGCGUGAGUGAUGAAGGUUUUCGGAUCGUAAAACUCUGUUGUUAGGGAAGAACAAGUACCGUUCGAAAGGGCGGCACCUUGACGGUGCCUAACGAGAAAGCCACGGCUAACUACGUGCCAGCAGCCG